rnacentral:rRNA from 1 species
AGUGAACGCUGGCGGUAGGCCUAACACAUGCAAGUCGAACGGCAGCACAGUAAGAGCUUGCUCUUACGGGUGGCGAGUGGCGGACGGGUGAGGAAUACAUCGGAAUCUACUUUUUCGUGGGGGAUAACGUAGGGAAACUUACGCUAAUACCGCAUACGACCUACGGGUGAAAGCAGGGGAUCUUCGGACCUUGCGCGAUUGAAUGAGCCGAUGUCGGAUUAGCUAGUUGGCGGGGUAAAGGCCCACCAAGGCGACGAUCCGUAGCUGGUCUGAGAGGAUGGUCAGCCACACUGGAACUGAGACACGGUCCAGACUCCUACGGGAGGCAGCAGUGGAAUAUUGGACAAUGGGCGCAAGCCUGAUCCAGCCAUACCGCGUGGGUGAAGAAGGCCUUCGGGUUGUAAAGCCCUUUUGUUGGGAAAGAAAAGCAGCAGGUUAAUACCCCGCUGUUCUGACGGUACCCAAAGAAUAAGCACCGGCUAACUUCGUG